CUCUCUUUUUCACGCCAAGAAUGGCAAUGGUACAGAAAUUUCUCGCAGGUUUGGUACAACCAAAAGCAUGAAACAAUAAAUGUUUCAACAUUUUUGCACUCGGAUCCGUCCAAACGCGUAUAAAUCUUCUCCUGUUUCACUUUUUCUUUUAUUUUUCUUGAAUCAUAACACGAAUUUUGCAUCUUUGUUGUUAUAAUGGGACUGUACGAACUCGAUUACUAUUGGUUCACUAGGGUUUGGUUUGGAUCGACCUAGAAUGGGUCAGAUCCAACUGCACAUGUUUAUCUUUGUAAAUCUUAGCCGUUAAUUUCAUAGUAUUAUGUUUUGCACCUAAAAAAUCUCUUGGUACCGAAUCGUUUGUUUAGAUCUAUGAAUGAACUUUGGCCCAACCCUCUCACAAGAGGGAGAGAGACAGACGGGAAAAAAAAAAAGAGAAAAAGGAGGAGAAAAAUGACAAAAAAAAGGUGGAAAAAUCACGGAAAAUGCUUGAGUUUUAAGUUUAACUUGAAAUUUAAGCUUGUUAGUAUAAUUUUAGACUUAAACCCAUAAAAGUUUGAGUCUCCCAAUUCUAAUUUUUUUUACUUUUGUUUUUGUGGCUGAGUUCUGAGAUUGGAAGCAUUAAGGCUCCAAAUUCAACUCUAGAUCCGGCUGCACACAAAAAAGGAGGUUUGUGAAAUUGUUAGUGCAGAUGAGAAUUGCAUUUCACUAAAGUGAAUUCUGUACUUUUGCUUCAUUGACCAAGUGCUGAUUUAGCUGUUUGAAGUCACCCUUUAGUUUUGUCGGACGCUAUAAUCAGAUACAAAUACAUUCAAAAAAUCUACAUCUCAUAAAUACACUGUUUUUUAAUGUAUUUAUCUUUGUAUUUUUUGAGAGUGUUUUUGAGUGUAUUUUGUUAAUAGCCAAACACACUAUUUUUGAAUAUAUUUGUCAUGUAUUUGAAUUUUUUUGUCUUGUAUCUGAAUAUAUUUGUUGAAAUCCAUUCAAAUACAUGAAAAUUUGAAUGUA